UACCAGAAGCAGGGAGACUAAGGAAUGUCAGGAGUGACGAGGUGAUUCUGUCUUUGUUAAGGUGACCGGUAUGCAGGAUGUCAUCAGCUGCUAUCCUGGAGGUCCAGCAACUUCUAGGAUGAGGAAAAUAGAUGUCUUACAGACAGUUUGAGCCAAGUUUCAAGCUUCCAGAGAGUGAAUCACAAUACGCCCAGAGGUUCCCAGGAGAACCCCAAGUUCUGAGCCACAGCACUGGGGAAACAGCUGCUGUGAGGGUUGAGAAAUGAGGCAGACCUGGGAAGCAGGAGGAUGAGGAUGCUGGAACAACAGUGCCACCUGUGUGGAGGGACUGCCCAUCACUCUGGGCUUCGGGUACACCGAGGAAGAUCAGGGGGAAACUGGAGUUUCAAACCUGGGCUCGCUGGCUGCAGGCUUUAGCCUGUACAGACACAAUUUUUCACACAGACCCCCUGGACCUGGCUCCCAAAAGCCAACCUUGGGAGAAACGCUCUCUCUCUGACUCAGGACUCUGCCGCUCCUCAGAGAGCAUCCCAGCAUGGUGGCAUCUACUCUUUUGUAUCCCUGGACAAAUACAGGCCUUCCUUGACUGAGCACCCUUCAAUCAAUGGUACGACCUCUGCCAGGUGACACCGUGCACGCUUCCCAGCUGGCGGUGAAAUUAACAAGCCUCCUCUCUCAGAGGCUUGGUUCUAAACAGCUCUGGAGAGCUCCAACCUUCACCUCCCUCGAUGGCCGGUGACCUAGUACAGUUCCGUGGAGAUGACCUGUCCAUUGAGAAACCAUCCCGAUCUCCUCAUAAACGCCCAAUGACGCUCAUCUAGCACAGCCUACGCCUGCAGCCGCGGGGG
rnacentral:lncRNA from 1 species